UACGGAGGGUGCAAGCGUUGCUCGGAAUUACUGGGCGUAAAGGGCGCGUAGGCGGAAUGGCAAGUCGGUCGUGAAAUCCUUCGGCUCAACCGAAGAACGUCGAUCGAAACUGCCGUUCUUGAGGAUUGCAGAGGAGACUGGAAUUCCCGGUGUAGCGGUGAAAUGUGUAGAGAUCGGGAGGAACACCGGUGGCGAAGGCGGGUCUCUGGGCAAUUCCUGACGCUGAGGCGCGAAAGCGUGGGGAGCAAACGGG
rnacentral:rRNA from 1 species